rnacentral:tRNA from 1 species
GGGGUAAUAAUUCAAUUGGUUAGAAUACCUGCCUGUCACGCAGGAAGCUACGGGUUCGAAUCCCGUUUACCUCG